rnacentral:rRNA from 1 species
CCUACGGGAGGCAGCAGUGGGGAAUUUUGGACAAUGGGCGCAAGCCUGAUCCAGCCAUGCCGCGUGCGGGAAGAAGGCCUUCGGGUUGUAAACCGCUUUUGUCAGGGAAGAAAAGGUUCUGGCUAAUACCUGGGACUCAUGACGGUACCUGAAGAAUAAGCACCGGCUAACUACGUGCCAGCAGCCGCGGUAAUACGUAGGGUGCAAGCGUUAAUCGGAAUUACUGGGCGUAAAGCGUGCGCAGGCGGUUAUGCAAGACAGAGGUGAAAUCCCCGGGCUCAACCUGGGAACUGCCUUUGUGACUGCAUAGCUAGAGUGCGGCAGAGGGGGAUGGAAUUCCGCGUGUAGCAGUGAAAUGCGUAGAUAUGCGGAGGAACACCGAUGGCGAAGGCAAUCCCCUGGGCCUGCACUGACGCUCAUGCACGAAAGCGUGGGGAGCAAACAGGAUUAGAUACCCUGGUAGUCCACGCCCUAAACGAUGUCAACUGGUUGUUGGGAGGGUUUCUUCUCAGUAACGUAGCUAACGCGUGAAGUUGACCGCCUGGGGAGUCGGCCGCAAGGUUGAAACUCAAAUGAAUUGACGGCUGAGAGNGCGAGGCGACGACGAGGGAGGAGG